AGUGAAGCGGCAACAGCUCAAAUUUGAAAUCUGGCUCUUUCAGGGUCCGAAUUGUAAUUUGCAGAGGAUGCUUUGGGUGCGGGCGCCUUCCGAGUUCCCUGGAACGGGACGCCAUAGAGGGUGAGAGCCCCGUCUGGUAGGAUGCCCAGCCCGUGUAAAGCUCCCUCGACGAGUCGAGUAGUUUGGGAAUGCUGCUCUAAGGGGAGGUAUACUCCUUCCAAAGCUAAAUACCGGCUGGAGACCGAUAGCGCACAAGUAGAGUGAUCGAAAGAUGAAAAGCACUUUGAAAAGAGAGUCAAAUAGCACGUGAAAUUGUUGAAAGGGAAGCGCUCGCUACCAGACUUGGGUACGCGGUUCCGUAGGUGCUCCGCACCUGCGUACUCCUCGUGCCCAGGCCAGCAUCAGUUCUUCGUCGGGUUAAAAGGCUUCGGGAAUGUGGCUCGCCUCGGUGAGUGUUAUAGCCCGUUGUGUCAUGCCCGGUGGGGGACUGAGGUACGCGCUCCGCAAGGAUGCUGGCGUAAUGGUAGCUAGUGACCCGUCUUGAAACACGGACCAAGGAGUCAACCUUAUGUGCAAGUGCCCGGGCGUAAAACCCCAGCGCGGAAUGAAAGUGAACGUAGGUGAGAGCUUCGGCGCAUCACCGACCGAUCCUGAUGUCCUCGGACGGAUUUGAGUGUGAGCAUAUAGGGUUGGACCCGAAAGAAGAUGAACUAUGCGUGUGUAGGGUGAAGCCAGAGGAAACUCUGGUGGAGGCUCGCAGCGGUUCUGACGUGCAAAUCGAUCGUCAAACAUGCGCAUGGGGGCGAAAGACUAAUCGAAUCUUCUGGUAGCUGGUUUCCGCCGAAGUUUCCCUCAGGAUAGCAGUGUUGAUCCCAGUUUUAUGAGGUAAAGCGAAUGAUUAGGGACUCGGGGGCGCUAUUUAGCCUUCAUCCAUUCUCAAACUUUAAAUAUGUAAGAAGUCCUUGUUACUUUAUUGAACGUGGACGCUGGAAUGAAACAACACUAGUGGGCCAUUUUUGGUAAGCAGAACUGGCGAUGCGGGAUGAACCGAACGCGAGGUUAAGGUGCCGGAGUGGACGCUCAUCAGACACCACAAAAGGUGUUAGUACAUCUUGACAGCAGGACGGUGGCCAUGGAAGUCGGAAUCCGCUAAGGACUGUGUAACAACUCACCUGCCGAAUGUACUAGCCCUGAAAAUGGAUGGCGCUCAAGCGUCCCACCCAUACCUCGCCCUCGAUGCGGGCUCGGCGCGUCGAGGAGUAGGCGGA
rnacentral:rRNA from 1 species